GGGGAGGUUUGGCACCUCGAUGUCGGCUCAUCGCAUCCUGGGGCUGUAGUCGGUCCCAAGGGUUGGGCUGUUCGCCCAUUAAAGCGGUACGCGAGCUGGGUUCAGAACGUCGUG
rnacentral:rRNA from 1 species